rnacentral:rRNA from 1 species
GGGAAACUUACCAGGUCCGGACUUAGUAAGGAUGUACAGAUUGAUAGCUCUUUACAGAUUCUAAGGGUGGUGGUGCAUGGCCGUUCUUAGUUGGUGGAGUGAUUUGUCUGGUUAAUUCCGUUAACGAACGAGACCUUAACCUGCUAAAUAGGCCCCAGAACUUUGUGUUCAAGGAAGCCUUCUUAGAGGGACGUCGCGUGUCUAACGCUAGGAAGUGUGAGGCAAUAA